AGGAAGUAAAAGUCGUAACAAGGUUUCCGUAGGUGAACCUGCGGAAGGAUCAUUAUUGAAAGCUUUGGGGAAGUUCUGUUGCUGGCCUUCACACUUGUUGUGGGCAUGUGCACGUUCUUCUCUAAUCCUAUUCAUCCACCUGUGCACUUUUUGUAGGGAUUUCUUUAGUAGAGUUGGCUUAGGUUAACUUGAAAGGGAUUUUUCUAUGUCUUAUAAACUCUAUUGUAUGUUUUGAAUGUCUUUUUAUUGGGACUUAGUUGCCCCUUUAAAACUUGUACAACUUUCAGCAACGGAUCUCUUGGCUCUCCCAUCGAUGAAGAACGCAGCGAAAUGCGAUAAGUAAUGUGAAUUGCAGAAUUCAGUGAAUCAUCGAAUCUUUGAACGCACCUUGCGCCCUCUGGUAUUCCGGAGGGCAUGCCUGUUUGAGUGUCAUUAAAUUCUCAACUUCAAAAGUUUGUAAUAACUUUAUUGAAGCUUGGAUGUGGAGGUUUUGCUGGUAUUCAAUUAUCGGCUCCUCUUAAAUGCAUUAGUGGAACCCCGUUAGUUUGGGCCAACCUUGGUGUGAUAAUUAUCUACGCUUUGGUUUUGGUUCCAAGUCUGGAUAGUGCAAUUGUAUUAUUGCUCUAUCUGUUCUAUCAAGGGUUUUGCACCUCUGGUGCUUUACCUGGAUAGUAAGCGUGGGCGGUUUGCAUUUACUUUUUGUAGAUGCUCUGUCUGGUUAUCAGGGACUGUUUUUGCAUUAAUUUGCUCAGUUUGGAUAACAAGGGUUGCUUCUGCUUUCUAACCGUCUGUUAUUAUGGACAAUUUAAUUGACUAUUUGACCUCAAAUCAGGAG
rnacentral:sRNA from 1 species